UACGUAGGGGCUAGCGUUAUCCGGAAUUACUGGGCGUAAAGGGUGCGUAGGUGGUUUCUUAAGUCAGAGGUGAAAGGCUACGGCUCAACCGUAGUAAGCCUUUGAAACUGGGAAACUUGAGUGCAGGAGAGGAGAGUGGAAUUCCUAGUGUAGCGGUGAAAUGCGUAGAUAUUAGGAGGAACACCAGUUGCGAAGGCGGCUCUCUGGACUGUAACUGACACUGAGGCACGAAAGCGUGGGGAGCAAACAGGAUUAGAUACCCGUGUAGUCCCUGAG
rnacentral:rRNA from 1 species